rnacentral:rRNA from 1 species
GACGAACGCUGGCGGCGUGCUUAACACAUGCAAGUCGAGCGGUAAGGCCCUUUCGGGGGUACACGAGCGGCGAACGGGUGAGUAACACGUGGGUGACCUGCCCUCAGCUCUGGGAUAAGCCUGGGAAACCGGGUCUAAUACUGGAUAUGACUCCAUGACGCAUGUUGUGGGGUGGAAAGCCUUGUGCGGCUGAGGAUGGGCCCGCGGCCUAUCAGCUUGUUGGUGGGGUGAUGGCCUACCAAGGCGACGACGGGUAGCCGGCCUGAGGGGGCGACCGGCCACACUGGGACUGAGACACGGCCCAGACUCCUACGGGAGGCAGCAGUGGGGAAUCUUGCGCAAUGGGCGAAAGCCUGACGCAGCGACGCCGCGUGAGGGAUGACGGCCU